UUCACCAAAGUAACCACUCACCCAUUACUACAGUGCUUCAGAAUGUGUACUAAAGAUAUCACCACAGUAGUUCCAUAGGAGAGCGGUAAACAUGCUCACAGCAGCAGCAGCCUGUCAAUCCAUCUACAGCUAUAUUCUCUUCUAUGUACUGCUAGAAGCCACAACUGGGAGGAGUUAAGCAUAGAGAACUGUCACUAAAGUACUUCCAGGUAAGCAGCUACCCUUUGUCUGAAUUCUAAAGCAAAAUAAUCCAUACAGUCCUCAUGGUGCUUUCUUCUUUUGUUUUGUCUACCAGAAGCUUGAGGGACACUGACAUGACGAAAAUGCCAAGCAGAAAGUACUUAUGGGAAGGAACAAAGGAUGUAUCAGCAGGGGAACUGCAAGCAAGCCAAUAUGAACACCAUAAGAAUGCUGCAGUCAAUGGCUGCUCAAAUUAGCGUUUAAUUAAUAAUAGGAUACCUUGCAGUUCAAUACGACCAAGGGGGAAGAGUGCAGGCAGAAGAAAAACAGUUGAACAUUUUAGAA